GGUGCUGGGCCGAAUGACUGGAGAGACACCGGAAGCGGAAGGGAAGGGGCGUGGCCUCGGAGGCGCCGGAAUUUGUGGGCGACCGGAUUUUGGACAAGAGGAGCGGCGUGUUCCUGUGGUUAGCCCGCUGCGUGAAGGGUUUAGUCAGUCCACCAUCGCCGACAGCACUUCCGCCCUGCCCACCUCCAGCCUGAGCGUUGUGCAUGAAGCCCACCACAUCAUCUAGACCCCAGCACAGGGCAUCUGCCAGCAGGACCAAUGACUCGUCAAAGUACUCGGCCACCAAGACCAGGUCAAAGACAGAGUCCAGCCAGGCCAGAUUCCACUGGAUGAAGGAUGAAGACCUCAAAUCUAAAAAGGCAGCGCUGGACGUCUGGCUGUGACCAUCAGCAGCAGUGGGAACGGGAUGGAAGAGAGCAUUGGGAUCCAAGGUGUGGGCUCGCAGGCCAACACCAGAAGGCAGCUGUGGCGGGUUGGGAUCUCUGGGGGGAUGAGGAUUCCCUCUCUUGGUCCUCAUCUCUGGGGGAAAGGGGAGGCCAAAGUCAAACCAUAGCAAGUUGCGUGCAUAGUGGUCCCCACGGGCCCCAGGCUGGUAGAAGGCUCGGGGAUUGUCCAGGAAGGCAGCCAAGGACGGUGAUUUGCGGAAAGCCGAUGAUGUGGAUUUAUAGUAGGAGAAGGCAGAGCGGGCCAGAGCCGCUGGGUCUCGGACAAUGGAAAAGAAGAAGCUGUCAGAAGGCAUAACCUGAAGUACCUGCAGAGAAGAGGAAGCAGACAUAGGGAGAGAGAACUAAGCCAGGAAGAAACUAAGAGCAAACCCAGUGCCCACUGAUCCCCCAGCCUCCUCCAACCUCCUUCUGACAGCUCUGCUGGGAACCCCCAGCUUCCUCCACCAGCUACAUAGAUCUUGGGUAAGGCACUUAACAUCUCUGAGACUCAAUUUGCUUAUCUGCAAAACGGGGAUCCAUCAUACCUUCCUUCCCAAGUGAUUAUGGAGGUUACAUGAGAUAAGGAUAGGAAGGAACCUGGAACAUGGGAAGCUCCUGGAGAACAUUAACUUCCUUGGGCCUUUCUGUCUGCCUUGGUCAGUAACACUUCUAGGAAUCAAGCUUUGUGUUCACUUCUCCAACAGAAACCUAAGUGCCUACUCUGGGACUCUGUCACAACUCCAAGAAAGGAGCUGGCCUCAGGCCUUCUCAGGAGGAUCACUGGCAGCAAAUAGGGAGGAGACAGAGCAGUCGCAAUGCUGUCUCAGGUAUAGGUGUCAGGGGCAGGCCAAGCCCAGGAUGGCCGAAGGACAGGGCACUCCUGGGGCUCCUUGGCAUCUUGCAGAGCAAGAGACACCCCUGGAAUGGGCACUGGGGAGCCGUGGCCACUCGGUAGGGUGCUGCUCUGAGGCCUAGGAUGUGUGAUCCCACUUCUGGGCAAGAAGGAAGGUGGCAAUUGGGCUGAGCCACACCCUAGCGUGGUCCUUCAGGCAGAUCCAUGCCAGAACCCAGCUCUGGGGCUCCUUGAAGGGUUUCUGCCUCUGAACGUGACCUCUGUCAUUGAACCUGACUCCCUGACAAGUCUCCCAGUCUGCUCUGCCGAUGUGGGCAUGCCUGCAGGACGAGCCUGUGAGCUGUAUGUCUCUUUGAAGGCAUAGGGAAACAGUGCAGAGAACGGUCUGUGGCAUCAGAUGGACCUGGAAUAAAAUCCCAAUUCAGCCAUUUACCAACCCUGUAACUUCGGGCAGGUUAUCGAACUUCUCAGAGCCUUCUCAGAGCCUCCAUCAGUAAAUCUGGGUUAACACUUACCUUGAAGGAUGUGGAAGUGUGGGGAACAUGGGAGGUAGUGAGGGGUGGUGACAAUCAUCCUAAACUCCAGAGGAACCUGCCUCAGUGACCGCUGUCCUCGCCUCACUCCCAGCAGUCCCCCCUUGCUUCCCAUUAGAUCACAUUCAUGCUGCUCAGCUGCUUUCUCCUGCUCCAGCUCCAACAGGACUGCCUUUGCAGCCACCACUGAAGUUCUACCACCUACACACGCACACACACCACUGCCACCAUGUCUUUAAGAUGUUUUGCUGAACACCUGAUAUUUUCCUUACUACAAAGUCAUGUCCACCCUUUCCUAUAAAACCCACCUCUCCAGAAAGCCCCACCUCUUUUGAUGAAUAUUCUCCCCACAGUUCCAAAUACAAACACACAUACACACGCACACAGCCCACAGAAGGCACUUUGACUUUGGAGCAGUUGGGCCUGGGUUCAAAUGCUAGCUCUGUGGCUUUCCGUUAACAGAGGCCUGUCACUUAGCCUCUCUGAGAGUCAACCUCCUCAUCUGUGUAGUGGAGACACUUAUAAUGCCUUCCUGGCAGGAUGAUGGUAAGAUGACUAUCCAGCACCCAAGAAGUAUUCAGUGAAAGUUCGCUCUUUCCUUGUAUGUGUUCAUUUGCCCAUUGAUUUUCUUCCUCCAAGAGGUUCGUGUGUGUGUGUGUGUGUGUGUGUGUGUGUACGGAUGACCUGUGAGUGCGUGCACUCAUCUCCCCCUUUAGAACUGAGGCUCCGGGGGUUGGGGGUGGGGCUGGGACUGGGGCUUGGCAUGUAGCUGAUCCUCAAAAUCUGGCAGACGUGGUGAGGGGAGUGAGAUGCAGCUGGGUCAGAAGGCAGUGACUGCACAGGGCCCUGGUAGUGCCAGUGGAAGGGGCCAGGAAGGGCCAGGUACCUGGAGGGAGGGUUGGCGGGGUGGGGUCAGAGUUGGCGGGACACUGAUGCCAGCAGGAUAAAUUGGUCAAGGAGAGAGACUGCAGUAAACUCUAGAUGGAGAGGGCAGAACUUAGGCUGCCAGAAAAUUCUGAGGGAGGGACAGCUGAGGAGGGGGCAGCAGGACUCACCUUUGUGGCCCCCAUGCCCAACUCUUGGGUGAGGGGAUGCCUGGGGAGCCUCCAGGCCUGGGGUCUCCUCCCCUGGUGGUCUUGGCUACAGGCAUGAGCCCAUCUCUCGCCAGUCCUGUCCACCCCCUCGACACUCCUCACCUCUUUCAGGUUGAACCUCAUGUGAUGACAGAGGAUGUGGAAGGGGGACUGGGUGCCUCCACCCUGAGGGCGGUAGCCUUUGACCCGAGAGGCCUGGAAAAGCUUUGGGUAGCCGAACUGAUAGCGGGCGGGGAGGGCGAAGCGCAGCCCGUGUCGGUCCCCGUAGCGGUGAAGUAGACUGAGCACAGAGCUGCUUCCGGAUUUAUGCGUCUUCAGGAACACGAGUCGCUGCCGUGGCAGGCAGGAUGGAACAGCUGGUCCCGGGGUUGAGGCCCAGGAGUGUCGGAGCUGCAGCCCAGGUAGCCUGGGGAGAGACGGGAGGGGAAGUGUCGUGUCCCUCACCAGCAGGUGGAUGAGUGUCUUGAGGAGAAAGGACGAGGGCGUGGAGCGUCCUCUGAGUCCCCAAGAGUCACAGCCCCAGGUGAGACGGGGAGGAGCAAGUGGGGGGGGGCAUCUGUGGGGCGUUGGGACAAGAUGGGAACUCACCUCCUCUGGAAGGGACCCCCCCAGAGCUGGAGGGCAAAUCCGAUGGUCAUGAAGACUCCCAGAGCCACCCCCAGGCUCCGAGGCCCCCAGAGGCGCAUGGUCCUGGUAGGAGACAGAGGGCCCAUGUGGCACAGGGAAGGGGGACGCUAGAGCGGGGCAGGGCAAGGGCAAGGCACAGAGGCAGAGACAGCUUGAGACAGCCGUGCAGCCGCGGAAGGCGCCAGUUCGAGUUUGGGGGUUCAUUCCCCAGGUCUGCUCGCAGCCCCGGUUGAGUCUGCCCCCUGAGUUAGCAGAUUUUUGCCUCUGUCAGCGUCUAGAAGGGAAAUGAGGGGGAAGGAGGAGAGUCUAAGGAGGCGGUAGAGCCUUCUCUCCUGCUGCUGCUGCAGCUGAGACCUCAUUCCGGGCAGGGGGGCAGCGGAGGGGGGAGCCCUCUCUACACCCAGAUCUUCUAGGUGCCCCACGACUGCUUCUCUGCUGUCAACCUGCAGCUCCUUCCAACCCUCACUGACAGCUCCUCACUGAGCCCCAGGGAUUUGGAAGUCAAGGGGAGAAAGAUCAGACCGGUCCGCUCAUACCAGUGAAACAGACAUCACCAGGCCCCUGACCACCUCCUCUACCCCUCUGUCUGUGACAAGUCGGGCUGAAGAGCCCCAUUCUGAGGCUGAGAGGAGAAGCCAUAAGGAGCGAAUGAGGGCCAGACAGGGCACCAGCUUAGGAACCCAGGGAGGUGAAACCACAGGAGCAACUUUGUAAAGAAUAAGAGCCGACCAGCUCAUCUAAGCUCAGCUUUCUGCAGAACAAAAGACUCAUUCAGGCGACCAAAGGAAAGAAGGAAAGAAGAAAGGAGAAUGACAGACAAGAGUUGAAAGCAGACAUUGUCAAGGACAUGACAAG